rnacentral:tRNA from 1 species
UGUGGCAGAUUAGUGCAAUGGACUUAAGAUCCAUAUAUAAGUUAACCAUUUCGUUAAAA